AUGAAAGCACAGAAAGAUUAUCAGAACACAUAAACUAGUCCAAGGAGGAAUUAAGGAAGAAGAAGAAAAGGCUGAAGGAGAAGCCUCAGGACAAGGCCAUACAUGUAUAGCACAGCAUAUUAAUGUUGGGGCUCUGGAGAAUCCUCCCACCAGCAGACCAUCCUAAACUUCAGGAGUCCUCACACUAUGCGAUAUUUCUCCACCAGGGAAAUCUACACUUGAAAUUGUGCUUUGAAGAAAUGAGGGCAUCAGGGAGAAAAUGUGUGAAGGUAGGAGAGCAGUGAUCAAGCAGCACAGUUUGGAGGUGGAAAUGAAGAGAAAGAGGGAACAGCAAUCACUCUACCUCGGGCUACAGUCGGUAACUAGCAGAGUAAUAGAAGACAGAGGGGAAAGGUGCUACAGAUUUAUCAUGAAUACAAUCGCUCAGCGAAAUCCAGAGGGACGCCAAGCAUCUUUUUUCUGUCUCUUUAAACAUUUUAUAUAAUUAAAGAAA